rnacentral:lncRNA from 10 species
UUCCAAGAUGGACGAAUAGGAACAACUCCAACCUACAGCUCCCAGCGAGAUUGAUGCAGAAGAUGGGCGAUUUCUGCAUUUCCAACUGAGGUCUCUGAAGAAUCUCCAUACCAUCUUCCACAAUUGUUGAACUAAUUUACACUUCCAGUAACAAUGUGGGGCUACAGGCCCCAUGUAAGUCCUAUAUCUAAUAGGGCAGUCAUUAAACCUUAAAGUUUCAAAAUGAUUUCCUUUGAAUCCAUGUAUCACAUCCAGGACAUGUUGAUGUCUUCAAGAGGCGGACUCCCAUGGCCUUGGUCAGCUCUGACCCUGUGGUUCUGCAGGGUACAGCCUCCCUCCCACUGCUUUCAUGACUGGCAUUAAGUAUCUCCAGCUUUUCCAGGAAUACAGUGCAAGCUGUUGAUAGAUCUACCGUUCUGCGGCCUGGAGAAUUAUGGCACUCUUCUCACAGCUCCACUAGGUUGUGCCCCAGUGGAGACUCUGUGUGUAGACUCUGACCCCACAUUUCCCUUCCACAUUGCCCUAGAAGAGGUUCUCCAUGAAGACUCUGCCCCUGCAGCAAACUACUUCCUAGACAUCCAGGCAUUUCCACACAUCCUUUGAAUUCUAGGCGGAGGUUCCCUAACCUUUAUUCUUGGCUUCUGUGCACUUGCAGGACCAACAACACAUGGAAGCUGCCAAGGCUUGGGGUUUACACCCUCUGAAGCAAUGGCCUGAGCUGCACCUUGGACCUUUUUAGCCAAAGCUGAAGCAGCUGAGAGGCAAGGCCCCAAGUCUCAGGCUUCACACAGUAGGGGGCACCUGGACCUAGCCCAGGAAACUAUUUUUCCCUUAAUGGCAUACCCUCCCAUCACAGGCCCAGAAGCCUAGGACAUAACCUGGAGGCAUUUUCCCCUUUGUCUUGGUGAUUAGAUGCAGCACCCCCAGGGGGAACUUUGCCCCUCCCAUUUGGGCACAACCACUGAAGACUUCCUCAUCUUUGCCACAUAAAAGCCCCAGAACACAGCCCCAUUUCUGGCAACCCUCUUUGGGUCCCCUCUCUUUGCUGAGAACUUUUCUGUUGCUUAAUAAAACUUUGCUCUACAUUAUUCCUUCUCUGGUGUCUGCGUGCUUUAUUCUUCUUGGUCAUGGGACAAGAACUUAGACCUAGUUGAACUGAGGAGCGAUUAGGCUGCAACACUAAUAUCAACCAAAAAAUUAGAGAACAAAGGGCAAACAGACCUCAAAGCUAGCAGAAGACAAGAAACAACCCAAAUCAGAGCAGAUCUGAAGGAGACGGAGACACAGUAAAACUACCCUAAGAACAAUGAAUCCAGGAGGUUGUUUUUUUAAAAAAUUAAUAAAAUAGCUCACCAGCUAGACUAAUAAAGAAGAAAAGAGAAG